rnacentral:rRNA from 1 species
GAUGAACGCUAGCUACAGGCUUAACACAUGCAAGUCGAGGGGCAUCAUGACUGAGGUUUACCUUAGUUGAUGGCGACCGGCGAAUGGGUGAGUAACACGUAUCCAACCUGCCCGUUACUGGAGGAUAGCCCUCCGAAAGGAGAAUUAAUACUCCAUGUUGUGCUGAAUUCGCAUGUUUUCGGCACUAAAGAUUCAUCGGUAACGGAUGGGGAUGCGUCCGAUUAGGUAGUAGGCGGGGUAACGGCCCACCUAGCCUUCGAUCGGUAGGGGUUCUGAGAGGAAGGUCCCCCACAUUGGAACUGAGACACGGUCCAAACUCCUACGGGAGGCAGCAGUGAGGAAUAUUGGUCAAUGGGCGCAAGCCUGAACCAGCCAAGUAGCGUGAAGGAUGACUGCCCUAUGGGUUGUAAACCUCUUUUAUAAGGGAAUAAAAUACGGGACGUGUCCUGUUUUGCAUGUACCUUAUGAAUAAGGACCGGCUAAUUCCGUG